rnacentral:rRNA from 1 species
CCUACGGGAGGCAGCAGUGAGGAAUCUUGGUCAAUGGACGAGAGUCUGAACCAGCCAAGUAGCGUGAAUGAUGACUGCCCUAUGGGUUGUAAACUUCUUUUAUAUGGGAAUAAAAUGUUCCACGUGUGUGAUUUUGUAUGUACCAUAUGAAUAAGGAUCGCCUAACUCCGUGCCAGCAGCCGCGGUAAUACGGAGGAUCCGAGCGUUAUCCGUAUUUAUUUGGUUUAAAGGGAGCGUAGGUGGAUUGUUAAGUCAGUUGUGAAAGUUUGCGGCUCAACCGUAAAAUUGCAGUUGAAACUGGAAGUCUUGAGUACAGUAGAGGUGAGCGGAAUUCGUGGUGUAGCGGUGAAAUGCUGAGAUAGCACGAAGAACUCCGAUUGCGAAGGCAGUUCACUGGACUGCAACUGACACUGAGGCUCGAAAGUGUGGGUAUCAAACAGGAUUAGAGACCCCUGUAGUC